GACGAACGCUGGCGGCGUGCCUAAUACAUGCAAGUCGAGCGGACCGAAGGGAGCUUGCUCCUUUAGGUUAGCGGCGGACGGGUGAGUAACACGUGGGCAACCUGCCCUGCAGACUGGGAUAACUUCGGGAAACCGGAGCUAAUACCGGAUAACACCGAAAACCGCAUGGUUUUCGGUUGAAAGGCGGCUUUUAGCUGUCACUGCAGGAUGGGCCCGCGGCGCAUUAGCUAGUUGGUGAGGUAACGGCUCACCAAGGCGACGAUGCGUAGCCGACCUGAGAGGGGGACCGGCCACACUGGGACUGAGACACGGCCCAGACUCCUACGGGAGGCAGCAGUAGGGAGUCUUCCGCAAUGGACGAAAGUCUGACGGAGCAACGCCGCGUGAGCGAAGAAGGUCUUCGGAUCGUAAAGCUCUGUUGUCAGGGAAGUACAAGUACCGUUCGAACAGGGCGGUACCUUGACGGUACCUGACGAGGAAGCCACGGCUAACUACGUGCCAGCCGCCGCGGUAA
rnacentral:rRNA from 1 species